rfam:Cavia porcellus supercont2_43 genomic scaffold, whole genome shotgun sequence.
AAGGAUUUAGCUCAGCGGCAUAAGCGCCUGCCUUGCAAGCAGGCAGUCUUGAGCUCAAUUCCUUG